GACACUGAACAUGCAGUUUGUUUCGACAGACACCAUUUAAAGUAUAAAAACACCUGUCGGAUGGACGCAGGCUGUUAGACCAGACACUCUCCCAGACGACUGUGACCCUCACCUCGUCUCAAACCGGAAGAGGAUUUUGGUUUGAAAAACAAGCAUGACCUUUCGCCGCAGCAUCUUCAGGGCAGGUGAAUGGAUGACAGAUGACGUCUCACGCUGAUGCAGGGAGACUAAGUAAUGGCGUUCUUAUCCGACCUGCCAGCGUCUGCCCUCUUCUUACGCCAGCAGCGCUGACAAAAGGGCGACAGCGUCUCUGUGCGGACAUGGUCAUCAUGCGGCCCUGGACUCACGGUCAGACGGGAGGAAGAGGAGCCGCACUGAGAGGAAACAAGAGGAGGAGCAGGACGAGGGAGAGGAGGAGGAGGAUGGGGUUCUAUUGGGUUCUAUUUGGAUUGAAGUCCAUUAUUUCCACGGGUGGAUCGUGAAAGAACAGGAAGUAAAGACUACUGCCGAGAACGUGUUGAUGGAUG